ensembl:lincRNA
UUCAUAAGUAGGGUUUGAGUUAGUCCUCCGCCCUGGCCGAUAGGAAGUAGGUUCUGUUUGACCAAGUUGUUUGCUAAGCCUGGUUGUUGGGCUGCUGAGUGUGGACACGUCUACCGCACGUUUCCAGGCCAAAAUCUCGUCCCUCUUCUUUCUGAGCAUCGCGUUUCCUCGGAUCACCUGUUGUAGAUAAGCCACUCCCAGCGCCUGCGAAGACGAAGGUCAGGAGAUAGGGCUGUUGAGGUGCGGUACGGGGAGGACUCCCAGGUAGGAAAAAUCACACUGGCUCACCGGAGUCAGGAAGGCCACUGCUAUCCCGACCAGGGCAAGAGACGGCAUUCCUGGGGUGGAGAAUGGCAGUGCCAGAGACUCCGGGGUCCUGCAGCAGGUGCCCUUCCUCUUAGAGGCACAGACUACGCUCAGGGAGUACUAAGAAAUGAAUCUGGAUGUGAAGACCGGCGCCUUGUAGAAAACUGCAAGCAUUUGCUCAUGAGCAAGGUUGGGAGGUCGCUGAGUGCAUCCGAGGUGCAGAUCUGGGAGCCAGAAGAGGAUGACAUGACGGAAGGCGACCUGGGCUACGGCCUCAGCCGGACACCUGGCAGCCUCUGCAAGCUGGAAGACUCACGUUUACGUACAUCCAGAAGAUCAGAUGGGAAGAGCUUCAGUCCUCCUCCACCUCCAAGGGAUGGGGAAGAAAGAAAUGGGGCCGUUUUCCAGUAUUUCCCGCAGAAGAGCCAGCAAACCACAAGUCCCCAGAGGCCCAGAACAUCCAGCUGUAGUCAGGAAGGGAACCCUGAGUCUAAUUCAGAACUGUCAAAUGAAGAACUAAGGCAACGUCUUCAAGAAACCUUAGAGGUAUGUCCUCUGGCUAAUAUAUAAAGUCUCAUGUGAAUAAAGUCUGCUAAUGGAAACUUUGUUUAAAUCAUACCAAAUUGUAAAUACUGGCUUUCCAGAUAUUCUGUUUUCUUUGUUAGGUGCUGGGGAUUACCUGGGGUGUUGGGCCUGAGUCCAGCCUCUGAACCGUCACUCACCCUCUGUCUUUUCAGCCCUCCUGUUUCUCAUGCACCCCAUCUUUUGAAAGGGUGCUGUAUCAUCAUGCCCUGUUUUGUGUCUUCUGCUCGCCUUUGACCUGCUCCUCUGCCCUCCUCCGCUCCCCGAUGUUAGAUGUCCUCCCUGGGAGGGUCUGAGGCCUGAGCCUGGGUGGGCGUGUAGCUCCCUCCUUUGGGAAACAGGAAGCCCGCCUUGGUGUGUUUGUGACUUUUCUUGUCCAAAUGACUGUUGACAAAGUACCACAAACUGGUGGUUUAAAACGGCAGAAAUUACUGCCUCUCAGUUCUGGAGGCCACAAACUUGAAUCUAGGUUUGGGUGGGCCUUGCUUCUUCCAGAGGCUCCAGAGGCGAACCCCUGUGUGCCUCUUGGUGCUUUCAGUGGUUGCUGCAGCCCUUGGUGCUCAGCCCUUGGCUGGUAGCAGCAAAAUCCUGUCUCUGCCCCUGUCUCUCAUAGCUUUCUCCACUGAGUGUCGCUCCUCAGAAAUGUCCCUAAUUGUGUAGACUCCAGUCAUUGGGCCAUCAUGACUUUCCUCACAGACUUCAGGGUGUAUUUUUAUCUCGCUUUGUCCUCUUUGAUUCAAUCCUAGCUUGCUCCGCAGAGCCAAUUUGUCUCACUCUUCACUUUUACUUUUUCAAAUAAAC